GUUGAUCCUGCCGUGACCUCGACUGCUAUCGGAUUGGUACUAAGCCAUGUGAGUCGUUGCAGCAAUGCAAGGCAGACGGCUCAGUAACACGUAGUCAACCUAACCUAUGGACGGGGAUAACCUCGGGAAACUGAGAAUAAUACCCGAUAGAUCAUGAUACCUGGAACGGUUUAUGGUCCAAAUGAUUUAUCGCCAUAGGAUGGGACUGCGGUCUAUCAGCUUGUUGGUGAGGUAAUGGCCCACCAAGGCUAUAACAGAUACGGGCUCUGAGAGGAGGGGCCCGGAGAUGGGUACUGAGACACGGACCCAGGUCCUAUGGGGCGCAGCAGGCGAGAAACCUUUGCAAUGUGCGAAAGCACGACAAGGUUAAUCCGAGUGAUUCCUGCUAAAGGAAUCUUUUGUUAGUCAUAAAACCACUGAUGAAUAAGGGGUGGGCAAGUUCUGGUGUCAGCCGCCGCGGUAAUACCAGCACCUCGAGUGGUCAGGAGGUUUAUUGGGCCUAAAGCAUCCGUAGCCGGCUGUUCAAGUUUCCGGUUAAAUCCACACGCUUAACGUAUGGGCUGCCGGAAAUACUGUUCAGCUAGGGAGUGGGAGAGGUAGACGGUACUCGAUAGGUAGGGGUAAAAUCCUUUGAUCUAUUGAUGACCACCUGUGGCGAAGGCGGUCUACCAGAACACGUUCGACGGUGAGGGAUGAAAGCUGGGGGAGCAAACCGGAUUAGAUACCCGGGUAGUCCCAGCUGUAAACGAUGCAGACUCGGUGAUGCAUUGGCUUGUGGCCAGUGCAGUGCCGCAGGGAAGCCGUUAAGUUUGCCGCCUGGGAAGUACGUACGCAAGUAUGAAACUUAAAGGAAUUGGCGGGGGAGCACCACAAGGGGUGAAGCCUGCGGUUCAAUGGAGUCAACGCCGG
rnacentral:rRNA from 1 species